ensembl:misc_RNA Metazoa_SRP Metazoan signal recognition particle RNA
GCCGGGCGCGGUGGCUCACGCCUGUAAUCCCAGCACUUUGGGAGGCCGAGGCGGGUGGAUCACCUGAGGUCGGGAGUUCGAGACCAGCCUGACCAACAUGGAGAAACCCCGUCUCUA